AACGAACGCUGGCGGCAGGCCUAACACAUGCAAGUCGAGCGACGACUCCGGGUCGCGGCGGACGGGGGUGUAACGCGUGGGAAUAUGCCCCCCUCUACGCAAUAUCCUCGGGAGAAUGAGAGUAAUACAGCAUAUGCGCUCUGUGGGAAAGAUAUAUCGGGGAAGGAUUAGCCCGCGUUGGAUUAGGUAGUGGGUGGGGUAAUGGCCUACCAAGCCGACGAUCCAUAGCUGGUUUGAGAGGAUGAUCAGCCACACUGGGACUGAGACACGGCCCAGACUCCUACGGGAGGCAGCAGUGGGGAAUCUUAGACAAUGGGGGCAACCCUGAUCUAGCCAUGCCGCGUGAGUGAUGAAGGCCUUAGGGUUGUAAAGCUCUUUCAGCUGGGAAGAUAAUGACGGUACCAGCAGAAGAAGCCCCGGCUAACUCCGUG
rnacentral:rRNA from 1 species